AUGCGGCGACUACAAUGCAGUCGAGCGGCUGCAGGAAAAUAUCUUGCUACUUUUGCCGGCGAGCGGCGGAUGGGUGAGUAAUGCCUGGGGAUCUGCCCAGUCUAGGGGGAUAACUACUGGAAACGGUUGCUAAUACCGCACACUCCCUACCGGGGAAAGCAGGGGACCUUCGGGCCUUGCGCGAUUGGAUGAACCCGGGUGGGAUUAGCUAUUUGGUGAGGUAAUGGCUCACCAAGGCCACGAUCCCUAUCUGGUCUGAAAGGAUGAUCAUCCACACUGGAACUGAGACACGGUCCAGACUCCUACGGGAGGCAGCAGUGGGGAAUAUUGCACAAUGGGGGAAACCCUGAUGCAGCCAUGCCGCGUGUGUGAAAAAGGCCUUCGGGUUGUAAAGCACUUUCUCCGAGGAGGAAAGGUUGGUAGCUAAUAACUGCCAGCUGUGACGUUUCUCGCAAAAUAAGCACCGGCCAACUCCGUGCCACCUGCCGCGGUAAUACGGAAGGUGCAAGCGUUAAUCGGAAUUACUGGGCGUAGAGCGCACGCCGGCGGUUGGAUAAUUUAUAUGUGAAAGCCCCGGGCUCAACCUGGGAAUUGCAUUUGACACUGUCCAGCUGGAGUCUUGUAGAGGGGGGUAGAAUUUCAGGUGUAACGGUGAAAUGCGUAAAGAUCUGGAGGAAUACCGGAUGGCCAAUGCCGACCCCUGGAUUCAGACUGACACUUAAGUGCGAAAGCGUGGGGAGCGGACAGGAUUAGAUAUCCUGGUACUCCACGCCCUACACCAUGUCCAUUUGGAGGCUGUGUCCCUUGAGACUUGGCUUCCUGAGCUUACGCGUUAAAUCGAUCAGCCUGGCGGAGUAGGGCCGUCAAGGUUACAACUCAAAUGAAUUUGACGGAGGUGCCGCACGAGCGGUGGAGCAGGUGGUUUUAUUCUAUGCUUCGCGAAGACCCUUACCUGGUCUUGACAUGUCUGGAAUCUCUGUAAAGAUACAGAAAUGCCUUCUUCGAAUCAGAACACAAGUGCUGCAUGGCUGUCGUCUCUCCUGUCCUGGGAGUUUGGGUUAUUUCCUCAACCAGCGCCACACCCGUCCCUUGUUGCUGCUCGUCAUGUGGGAACUCAA
rnacentral:rRNA from 1 species